rnacentral:lncRNA from 1 species
AGGAAUACUACUUCAUGCAUAUAUAAUGCAUAUGCUUCUUGUGUUUCCGUUAGGUUAGCUUCUUCUCUUGGUCGUGUAGGACAAUGUGACAAUUGUGUUUCCGUUAGGUUAGCUUCUUCUCUUGGUUGUGUAGGACAAAGUGACACAAAGUGCCCCAUCUUGUCGCAUCGCCAACAUCUAACCUUAGAGUAGUCCUUAUUGGUCUUGUCUGAAGCUUCUCCUCCUUUGUUAUGACCAUCAGAACCAUUAGACCUUCCUCGUCCUCUUCCUCUUCCACCAUAACCUCUACCUAUGCCUCUUCCUCGCGAGUUGCUACGGCUUCCACUACCUUGCAUAUCAUUCUUUCCAAACAUUAGCUUCGAUUGAUCUUCAUCUUGGGUUUCUUCUUUGAUGCGUUCUUCGAAAGCCUUCAAUCUCCCAACAAUGUCUUCGAAUCCCGUUGAAUUUAGAUCCAACACUUGUUCUAACGAAGCUACGAUGUGAAUGAACUUUGUUCUUAGAAGUCCCUUCAGAAACUUCUUUACCAGCUUUGAUGCUUCCAUUAUCUCUCCUAAUGCGGCUGCUCUCGAUGCUAA